UACAGAGGGUGCGAGCGUUAAUCGGAAUUACUGGGCGUAAAGCGUGCGUAGACGGCUAUCUAAGUCGGGUGUGAAAAGCCCCGGGCUCAACCUGGGAAUUGCAUUCGAGACUGAAUAGCUAGGGUACGGUAGAGGGAAGUGGAAUUUCCGGUGUAGCGGUGAAAUGCGUAGAUAUCGGAAGGAACAUCAGUGGCGAAAGCGACUUCCUGGACCAGUACCGACGUUCAGGCACGAAAGCGUCGGGAGC
rnacentral:rRNA from 1 species